rnacentral:rRNA from 1 species
AUUGAACGCUGGCGGCAGGCCUAACACAUGCAAGUCGAACGAGUGGCGGACGGGUGAGUAAUGUCUGGGAAACUGCCUGAUGGAGGGGGCUAACUACUGGAAACGGUAGCUAAUCCCGCAUACCAUCGGAUGUGCCCAGAUGGGAUUAGCUAGUGGGUGGGGUAACGGCUCACCUAGGCGACGAUCCCUAGCUGGUCGGAGAGGAUGACCAGCCACACUGGAACUGAGACACGGUCCAGACUCCUACGGGAGGCAGCAGUGGGGAAUAUUGCACAAUGGGCGAAAGCUUGAUGCAGCCAUGCCGCGUGUAUGAAGAAGGUCUUCGGGUUGUAAAGUACUUUCAGCGGGGAGGCGUUACCAGCAGAAGAAGCACCGGCUAACUCCGUGCCAGCCGCCGCGGUAAUAC